UCUGCGUUUUGCACAGCGGUCUCGCUAGAGAAAUCCAACUAGCGACGAGGGUUGCGCUCGUUGCGGGACUUAACCCAACACCUCACGGCACGAGUUGACGACAGCCAUGCAGCACCUGUGCUGGCUACCCUUGCGGGUUCAUCCCCGUUUCCGGUUCUUACCACCAGCGUGUCAAACCUGGGUAAGGUUCUUCGCGUUGCGUCGAAUUAAACCACAUGCACCACCGCUUGUGCGGGCCCCCGUCAAUUCCUUUGAGUUUCAACCUUGCGGCCGUACUCCCCAGGCGGGGUACUUACUCCGUUAGGUGCGGCACCGGCGGUAACCCGCCGACACUUAGUACCCAUAGUUUAGGGCGUGGACUAC
rnacentral:misc_RNA from 1 species